rnacentral:lncRNA from 1 species
CACCCUAAUUGGUGAAGUGGAGGUGGAACUUGAGCAUGCUUUGCUGUUGAACUUGAGAUGCAACAGGAUUCCGGUCGAGGAGAUUCGACAACCAAUCAUUGGCUCAAAAGGUCUAUAAAAGGCCAAAAGUUGGCAACGUGCAGUGGUUGGCUUGUUGCGGGUGGUAACAUGCUGUGACAGCUGAGAUUCAAGGUAAGGAGUGCUUGGUUUUUCUCUUCUUGGGCUACAUUGCUACAAACCUGCAAUGCUAAUAUCGUGUUGUGCUGAUUAGUUUCAUGAUCCAAGUUCAUAACAAUAAUAACCGAAGCCUUACUCACUAGCUGAAUUCGGUUAUAUUGAUCACACAAUGUCAUUUAAUUGGAUUAAAGACUAAACAUUUAGAAAUAUUAUUCAGUAUAAGGUUUCUCUUAACAACUUCCUCAAAUAUCAUUAUUGGUCUCCCUUUCCCUUUUUCAUAUGGUGAGGAUACUGAAGCACUGUCAUGGAAGAAAAGGGUAGAGAUAUGCAUAGGAGCCGCAAGUGGACUACACUACCUUUAUGUCAAAGCCAAAGCUGAACUUGAGGAUAAUUUUUUAAAUUAUUUUAUGAGCUUAUUGAAAUAGAUUUUUAUCAGUUAAAAUUAGCUAAUACUUGCACUUAUAGGUAUCAUGGGGUACAGCAGAGAAUUUCAUAGAUAUCAUCCAAAGAUGCCAGAAAACACCGGAAAGAUUUACAUCAAUGGAUCACGAGCCACCACAUAACAAAAUUUGACACCAUACUUUAACUCAAAAUUUUAAGACUCAGAUUUAUGGCUCUUUCCUCACUUGUAUAGUACUCAACUUUUUUACUUUUAUCUGAUGUAAGACUUUACCUCACUUGUAAUCCAACACAAGCAAAUGUCACAAACACCAAUGGUCAUUAUACCUUAUUCUCCAAAACCAUUAUUGAUCAUUAACCAAUACCUGGAACGGGGAUUGGAGUAUGCUCUGUCAUUUCACUAGGAAGAAGAUAUCACAUUAGUGACUUAGAAGACAUGCUUCCUUAGUUAUUUGGUGAGCUCAAAUCAACACAAGGGGUAACGUCUUUGUAGAUCACUAUCAAAGGGACACAAACAAAUAAUAGUAGUAAAUUAGACACCACAUUAUAUAUUGCCAAUUAUAUAUUGCUCAUCUUCACUCAUUCUUACAAGGCUCGGAAAUGACCUAGGGCUCAAAGAAUUAUAAAGGUACUUAGAGAUUACCUUUCAAUAAAAUCUGACAGCAGAAAUUAAGCCACAUCCUUUUAUGAUAUAAGCUUAUUCCUUAUCAAUUGGACCAAUCUGUUGGUAGAGCUGGCAUCCAUUGAGUAAAGGAGAUAUCAUUUGUCAGUACACAACCACCAAGUUGGCUAGCAAACCAGAUGGGAGCAACUUCUCCUGCACUAUAGGAAGGAACAUUUCACUAACUCCACAUCUUCCCCACAACAAGGGCACACUGAAUCAAUCGUAUGCAUAGUUUUUUGCAAAUUGACCCUGACAGGGACUAUAUUCUUGCAUAUCUUCCAUAGAAGGUUUUGACAUUUGGGUGCCACUUUAACCUUCCAUACGUCCGUCCAAAGGGAAGUCGAGAUUGCACUAGUUGAAGAUUCUGGUUCUGUCAACUUUGACCUGACCAAGCGGUAUCUUGUUUUGACUGAAUAUUCCCCAUUCUCUAUGUGUUGCAGAGGAGUUGAUCUUGAAAUAUACUAUUAUUUAGAGAAGAACAGUUCCUAGCAUUGAAAAGAAGGGAAACACAAAUGAAACUUAAAAUUUCUUUGCAUCAACAUAACAUUCAUAUGUCACCACCAUUAGAGCAAAAAUAGCCAUGACGAUGACAAAUAUAAUAAUUGGUACAAAAUCUUUAUACGCUAUGCUUGGUGCGUAAGGAUUUUAUGACAGAAUAAUUAUGUUUCAUAUUUCAUGUUUUGUUAUGACAUAAAGCAAAAUCUUUUAAGAUUGAGUUAUACAGAUUGAUUCUCCAAAUAAAACUCUUAAGAUUAUAUCUAGACUAAAAACAAAUUGAUUUACAUGAUCACAGGCUAAUAAUACGGAAUAAUAUAAUAAUUACACAUAAUUUUACAUAGAUUUUGUUAUAUCCUGUUAUCUCAUCAUGAUAUCAUUACCCCCCUCAAAUUGGAGCAUGUAAAUUACAUAUCUCCAACUUGCACGGUAGAUAGUGGGACCAAGAGCCUUAGUAAAAAUAUUAGCUAAUUGUGAUAAGUAGGUGUAAUAUUGUCAGUGAGAUACUCGUCGCGAAUGAAGUGGCAAUCCACUUCGAUGUACUUGGUACGCUCAUGAAAAAUUGUGUUUUUGACAAUAUGAAGCAUUGUUUGAUUGUUACAAUGAAAUUGCAUAGGCUGAGAAUGAAAGAUACCAAGACUAUGGAAAAGACCUUUUAACCAUUUCAAUUCUCCUGUUACAACUGUCAUGGAUCGAUACUCAGUGUUAGUAGAGGAACGAUAUAUUAUUUGUUGUUUCUUAGUUUUCCAUGAAAUUGAAGAAGAUCUAAGUAGAACAAACCAUCCGAUAAGGAACCUACGAGUUAAAGGAUAUUCAUCCCAAUCAAAGUCACACCAACCGGAUAGUUGUAGGUCACACAAUCCUUACACAACAAAACACCCUGUUCUAGAUUCCCUUUUAGGUAUCAAACAACACGUCCUCCCAAUGGGUCUCUUUAAGCACAAAGAAUUAUUGCUUGAGCUUGUUACCUUUAUAUUGUUCCUCUUGAUGUGUUUUUUCUGAAUUCCAUAACAUCACAAGAACCAAAGAUCCUGAUAUAGAGGGGAACCAUACAUAACAGAGCUAUUGUCUUCAAUUGUCUAUGUCCAAUCAUAGAAAAAUAACUGACAACUUUAAACAUAAAGAGAAAGCUUUGGGACAUUAUACAAAUCAUAUUAAUACUUAAUGGUGCAAGUGAUUGUUUAGUGGCAAUAAAGUGGAUGAAUUGGUCAUCUAUUGUUGAUAGAGGGAUCCGAUGGAACUUCAAGAGAGAAAUUUUGGUGUAAUUUUAUUUUGUUGUCCUGCAAAGUUAGAAAAUUUACAGUUCAAUUAACUAGUUGGAACCUGAUCAAUGAUCAGAGAUGGAUUCAAGAUGAUAAGAUGCCACAGUAUUCCGAUCAAGGAAACGGUGUUGGCAACGGAGUUAACGUGUUGUGACAGUGAGAUUCAAGGUAAGGAGUGCUUGGUUUUUCUCUUCUUGGACUACAUUGCUACAAACCUGCUGUGGUAUUAUUGUGUUUGUUGAUUAGUUUCAUGAGCCGAGUUCCUAACAAUAUUAACAACUAGGUGAGUUUGGUUAAAUUGAUCGCACAACGUUAUUUAGUUGGAUUAAAGACUAAGUAUUUAGAUAUACAAGAUUUCUCUUACAACUACCACCAAUAUUAUUAUUUGUCUCACUUUCCCUUUUUUAUAAAACUAAAAAUAUCUGAAAUUAUAUAUAAUUUUUUAUAUAUUUUAUUAACGUAUCCAAGACGUAUCAUAUCUUUAAUUUUAAAAAUUUGUCGUAUCUGUAUCAUAUAGUAUCCGUAUUGUAUCUCAUAUCACUUCAUAGGUGCUGAGCUAUAAUUGGCACGGACCACAAGCUGACAGUGUGGUCGGGGAUCAUGGUAUGAUUUCUCGUAGCAGCCAGUCCAAAAUAAAAAUAAAAACAAGCAAGUGUAGACCUCGUCGUUCCCCACGCAGAGUUGAAGUCUCUCUCUAACUUAGAUAAUAUACAUUAAAUAAUUAAUAUUCAAAAGACUUGAAGUCUUCCGCUGCUUUGGAGAAAAUACACAUGAACCAUGCUGCACUGUAACAGAAAUCUUAUCAUAAGUAUAUUUAUUGUGGUUGAUGUUUCAUUGUCUCUGCUUAACUACAGUGUGCUGCUUCGAUUAGAGGCACAGCUUAUCGAUGGACCCAGCUGGGACGCAAACUUCUUUAGGAGCCAUUCCCCUGCUGUUGUUGUGCCUCUCCUACCUUUCCAUAGCAGUUGUUAUUUAUUGUCCCGUUGAUCAAUUGAGUAUCAACUGUGGCUCAUCCAUCAACUUGUCCAUGGACGAUGGUCGGGAUUGGAUUGCAGACGGCAUUCAAUUCCUCUCAGAAAGAUAACACUCAUUUGCUACUCCAGCUCUCAAAAUAUCAACAUCACAGGCUCCUUACAACUAUGCUCGUCUCUCUCAGUCCCAAUUCACUUACUCAUUUCCUUGUCACUGCAGGCCCAAAGUUCCUUCGGCUAUUCUUCUACUCAACUUCAUGCAAGAACUUUGAUUGCCACAAAGCCUAUUUCUCAAUCAAAGCAGGCCCAUACACCCUUCUUGGAGACUUCAAUGCUUCCCUCAACGGCUGAUGCUAAUGAUAACACCGAUGGCAUCAUGAUCAGAGUGUUGAGUUACAAGUGUGAGGUGAAGUCCUAUAUCAGAUAAAAGUGGAAAGUUGAACACCAUAUAAGUGAGAAAAAAGUGUGGUGUUUACUUCCCCUAAGUCUCAAUUAACUAAUUACAAAAUAUACUUAACAAAUAGAUAAGUAUGUAUUAUAAUAAUAGAAUAUAUCUAACUUCAAAACUUUUAAAUAUAUUUACAUGUAGCAAAUAUAUAUGACACACCAUUAUACAAAUACACGUAAUAUUUUAUAUAUAUAUAUAUAUAUAUAUAUAUAUAUAAUAUUAUACAUAGAUAGCAAUCAGAAAUUUAUAUAAAUAUAUUUGUUUAUAUGAAAAACAUAUACAUGUAUAUCCUAGUAUUCCAACGAAAUCAUGAAAAUCCAGCAAUGAAAAACAACAACUUGAUUCUAUGCACUGUACCAUCAUCAUGGAAAUUAUUUACAUUUUUUCAAAAUUAUUCCAAUCGUAAAAUACAAUUGGCAGGAAAUUAUUAUUGGCAAAAAGGAAAAAAUGUUACAAGCAUAAAAAAAAUUAUACAAUAGAGGAGAAGAGAAUUGAAUUAGAAAAAGACUCAAUUUCUAAAGUUUACAUUCAAUACAAAAACAUAUCAAUUUCACAAUAAAUUCUUAUCAGGAAAUCAAUUUGUUCGUCAAACACAAUCAAUUUGGAUUAAAAACAUAAGAAUAGAAUUAAAUUUCAUAAAAAUAACUCAAAAUAACCCAAAAAUUGAUCCUCUAGGAAUCCUAUACAUGUCCAUUCUAAUUUUCAAGCGUGAGUAAUUCAUCCCAUACCUUGACGUAGUCGCUCAAACAUUCUCCGUUGGUAAUGGUUGUAUUUCUGGUGAGAAAAAAGAACAAAAAAUAUAAAAAAUAUUUUGUAAAACUGCUCUAGGAGUUAAAAGUUCUUUUAUACAAUGAGAAAUUUGAUGGCCUAAUUCUCAUUCCUAUUUUUUCUAGUUUAUUUUAUUAAAUGUAAAAACACUCUUCUAAUUAAUUAAUUAAUUAUUUUAUUUUAUUUUUACCAAUGAAAACAGGGUGAUAUACCGCAGAUGGUGAUGGAGGCGAUUGGCCCGCUCUGACGGGUGGUGAAGGCAAUGAAGGAGUUUGAAAGAGACAAAAUUAGAGAAAAUAAACAUAAUCCAGUGUAUGACAUGUAUGGUAUUAUUGUUUAUAUCAGAUAAAUUAUUGUUUUAUUUUUAAAUAAUGCAACAUAAACAAAAGUCACAACAAUUUUUUUUUCUAACAACAAAAGCUUAGACUACAUAUUAAAGAAACGAGGAAAACUAAAAUCUAUACGAAGUCUUCCCACAAAAGACCCAUGGCUGAGGCAAAAAUCACACAAAUGAUAUACGGACACUCUAAUAUAUAAAUAUAUAGGUUUUUCCUAUUUGACAUUUUUAAAAUCUAUUUAUUUAUUUUUCUAUCUCUUUCUUUUUCUUAAUUAACGUCUAUUAACAUUGUUGUCCACAAAUCAUUAUUAAUUUUGCCGUGGCUGAAAUUUUCACGCAUAGUCCAUCAAACAAACAAAAAUCAAAGGCAAGCGUAGACUUGAAAUCUCCUGCUUUCUUAGAAAAAAAUAGAAAAAAACACGAAUCAUCCGGCAAUAUUAGUAAAGGAAAUCUUGAUAAUUCAUACUUCAUAGUUGAUUUCCAUCGUUUGAGCUCACUGUUUUGCAACUGUGUGCUGCUUUGCUUACAGCUUAUAUCCAUGGACACAACUGGCACCCAUAUUGCUUCAGGGGCCAUCUUCUUCCUUCUUUUGCUGUGCCUCUCUAGUCUUUCCAUAGCAGAUGUUAUUUAUAGUCCCGUUGAACUCUUCAGCAUCAACUGUGGCUCUAACAGUAGCUUGUCCACGCGCGAUGGUCGCAAUUGGACUGCAGACAUCAAAUUCCUCUCAGAAAACAAGGACUCGGUUGCUGCUCCCGCACUCACACCAUCUACCCUGGAAGGUCCUUACACCGAUGCUCGUUUCUCUCACUCCCAAUUCACUUACUCUUUCUCUGUCUCCACAGGCCCAAAGUUUAUUCGCCUCUUCUACUCAACUUCCUACCAAAACUUCCAUCGCUCCAAAGCCUAUUUCUCAGUCAAAGCAGGCCCAUACACCCUCCUUCAAUACUUCAAUGCUUCCCUCAAUGCUGAUGCUGAUGAUGACCCGGACAACUUCUUAUUCAGAGAGUAUUGCAUCAACCUCCGAGAUGGUGAGAGGCUCAACAUAAGCUUCAUUCCAAGCACCGAAGAUUCGUACGCUUUCAUCAAUGGAAUAGAGAUUGUUUCAAUGCCCCCUUUUCUCUACUACACCCAUCCUGACGACGACAUCACUGGAUGGCCUCAACCAGUUGGCCUCAAUACGAACCCGUUCCCCAUUGAAAACAACUAUGCUAUGGAGACAAAGUAUCGGUUAAGAGUUGGAGACCAACAAAUCCCGGCCUCACAGGACACGGGUAUGCUCAGGAGCUGGGAUGUGGAUAACAAAUAUGUAACGACUCAAAGUGUACUAUCUCUAGAUAUUGAAUCUGGAAUUAAGCUGAGAUUCACAAAGACUCCUAACUACACGGCACCAGACACAGUGUACCGAUCCCUAAGGAAUAUGGGAAGUAAUGGCACCGUCAACAUGGGGUUCAACCUCACAUGGCAACUUCCCGUUGAUUCAGGCUUCACCUACUUGCUAAGAUUACACUUUUGCCAGCUUGACCCGAGAAUUGAAAAUCCUGGUGACCUGAGCUUCUUCAUAUUCGUUCAGGAUCAGUUGGUUGAAGACUGGGCAGACGUUCUCGGUUGGAGCGAUAAACAGAAGGGUGUCCCAGUGGUUAGGCAGUAUGCAGUUGUCAUCCCAGGGAAUCAGCAGGAAAGGCUUAAUCUUUCACUGAAAAUGCAUCCAAACCCUCAAAGCUUGGCCAAGGAUGCUCAAAUAAAUGCAAUUGAACUCUUCAAGAUCAACGACCCAACAGGUAAUCUCGCUGGACCUAAUCCAGACCCUCCUCUUCCACAAUCUCCAAAGCGGGUUCCACUUGAAAGCUCAAAUAAGAAAAGCCACGGCACCACCAUGAGAACUCUUGCUGCCAUUGCAGGUUCAGUUUCCGGUGUCCUUUUGCUCUCCUUUAUUGCCAUCCUCAUCAAACGCAGGAAGAAUGUCACCGUCAAUGAAAGUUCAAAUUAAAAAGAGGGAACUUCUCGGGACAAUGGCUCACUAUUUGUACCAACGGGCCUCUGCCGCCACUUCUCAAUCAAAGAAAUGAGAACUGCCACCAACAACUUUGAUGAAGUCUUCGUGGGAGGCUUUGGCAAUGUGUACAAAGGCCACAUCGACAAUGGUUCAACUACAGUCGCAAUCAAAAGGCUCAAACAGGGUUCUCGGCAAGGUAUUCGCGAGUUCAAGAAUGAGAUCGAAAUGUUGUCUCAACUUCGUCAUCCCAAUAUUGUUUCCCUCAUCGGUUACUGUUACGAGAGCAAUGAGAUGAUCCUGGUUUACGAAUUCAUGGAUUGUGGAAACCUCCGUGAUCAUCUCUACGACACUGAUAAUCCAUCUCUGUCGUGGAAGCAUAGGCUGCAGACAUGCAUAGGUGUUGCGCGAGGAUUGGAUUAUCUGCAUACAGGUGUGAAGCAGGUGAUAAUUCACCGUGACGUCAAGAGUGCCAAUAUCUUAUUGGAUGAGAAAUGGGAGGCCAAGGUUUCAGAUUUCGGGUUAGCCAGAAUUGGGGGGCCGAUGGGUAUUUCGAUGAUGACCACCAGAGUGAACACUGAGGUGAAAGGUAGCAUUGGAUAUUUGGAUCCAGAGUAUUACAAGCGUAACAUUUUGACGGAGAAAUCUGACGUGUACUCAUUUGGGGUGAUGCUGUUGGAGGUGUUAUCUGGGAGGCACCCUUUGCUCCAUUGGGAGGAGAAACAACGAAUGUCACUUGCUAAUUGGGCAAAACAUUGCUAUGAGAAGGGAACUCUGAGUGAGAUUGUGGAUUCAGAACUCAAGGGCCAGAUAAAACCUCAAUGUUUGAACAAAUUUAGUGAGGUGGCACUGAGCUGUUUGCUUGAGGAUGGGACUCAACGACCUUCCAUGAAAGACAUUGUUGGGGUGUUGGAGUUUGUUCUUCAGUUUCAGGAUAGUGCUGUUAAUUAUGAAGAUAGCAGUAGCCAUAGUACUGUACCUCUUUCAGAUUGUAGUGAGAACACUGGAUCAAGCAUGACAAGUGAUGGAGAUCGUAGCAAUGGCAGGAUGGAAUCUUUUGUGUUGAUCCCGGAUGAUGUUUUCUCUGAGACUAAGAAUCCAAAGGGACGAUGAGGUUGAAACAGUAGUAUUCAAGUUAGCAUGAGUAUCAAUCGUGUGACCAAGAGAGAAUUUUGUAUAUAUAAUAGUGUUGGUGCGAUGCAUUUUUGCCAAAAAAAAAAAAAAAGCAGUGCUGAUAACAAUAAACGAGGGUUGUUACUCCAACUAAAAAUUGAGAUAUUUUUCUUAUGAUUCCUUUGAUACUCUCAUCACCUAUUGUUAAACAACUGAUAACUUGAUAUAGUUAUCCUGCUACUGAGGCAAUCGAAUUUAAUCUAAUUUGACACAGGCUUAUCCAAAUGGGCUGGGUCCCAUUUUGGAAGAAUGGUCUAUGAGGUGAGUCAGUUUGGGAGCAGCUAGCAACUGAGAUAAACCAACAGUUCCCUGUCCACAACUUCAAAGUUAUCGAAGCUGCUUUCCCAAUCCAAGCAGAGGUGACCCUAUACAACGCUGUGCUCAUACUGAAGAAAACUGAGACCAUUGCGCAUGGUUUGAAGAUGUUUAUACAUGUUUUAGUGUUUUUCGUUCAUACUUGUGUUGUUGUCUUCGUCUCAUCCCGUGCGUUUAUUGCUGCUGUGUGUGUCAAUUUGAUAAUUGUGAGAGUAAUUCCCUAGAUACGAAAUGCAAUGCUUCUUACUUUGAGCACUUGAUGUCUUUAAUCCCUCUCUAUAUGUAUACAACAGAAUGAAUGAGUGCUUUUAGGUGCCAUUCUUUUAAAAAGAACGUUUUAAUUAUUUUAAUUUUCUUCAAUCGGAGCAUUUUCUCUUUAAAAGAAGAGUUUUCACUAGAUGAUCCUAUUCCUUAAGAAAUAUUUAAAACGCAGUAAAAAAAAUAUAUUUUAAUUGGACUUUCAUCUAUUCGGGCACGGAUUUACUUUAGGCAUUGGGGGAACUUGCUCCCUAACUAUUUUGUAGUUUAAUUUUUUUAAUGAGUAUUAUAUUUUAAUAUUAAAAUAAUCAGAAUGAUUAAUUUUUUAUAAGAGUUUAACCGUAUAGAUAAUGAGAUUUAAGUUUUAUCUAUCUUUAUUUUUUUUAUAAAGUAUUUUUCUUUUUUUAAUAUUUAUUUCUAAGAUAAUUAUAUUUUUAAACAAAUAUCUUAUUUUCUUUUUUAUAGUCUUAUAGAGAUAAUUGUACUUUCCCCUUUUGUUUAGACAAAAUGUUUAAAAUUUUAAUUAAUUCGAAAUUUAUCUGGAAAAUAAGUAAGCUUGACCAAGAAUUCUUUAUAAUUAUUUAAUUCUAUACAAUAUCAUAUUCAAUGUUUUUUAUGUUUAAAUAAUAGAGCGCGUACACAAAUCACUCAACAUACUUUUAUCCGCUGAAAUUUCCACACAUAACUCCAGUUUAAGUAAUUUUUUCCAUAAGUAUUAAUAGAAAAUAGAAAAAAUGUAAAAAUAAUUAAAUUUCUCCUUGAAUUUAACUCAUAAGUAACAUAAAAUUAAUUUAUACACUACAAUUUUUUUAAUAGCACCUCAAUGUUUGCACAAAUUUGGUGAGGUUGCACUGAGCUGUUUGCUUGAGGAUGGAAAUCAACGGCCUUCCAUGGAAAUCAAAUUUGGGUUGUUGGAGUUUGUUCUUCAGUUUCAGGAUAGAGCUGUUAAUUAUGAAGAUGGCAGUAGCCAUAUUUCAGAUUAUAGUGAGAUCGAACACUGGAUUGAGCACGACAAGCGACGGAGAUCGUAGCUAUGGCAGGAAAGAAUCUUUUGUGUUGAUCUCAGAUGAGUUUUCUCUGAGAUUAAGAAUCCAAUUAAAGGGAUGAUGAGUUGAAGUAGUAUUCAAGUUUAGCCUGAGUUUCAAUCAUGCGACCAAGACAGAAUUGUAUAUAUAAUAGUGCUCGUAAGAUACAUUUUCGCACUAAAUAGCUGUGCUGAUAACAAUAAAAAUUGAGUUAAUUUUCUUAUGGCGCUUUUGAUACUUCCAUCCCUUAUUGGUAGAGUUGAUAUACUUAUCCUGCUUCAGAGGCAAUCGAAUUUAAUCCAAUCUGACACAGGCUUAUCCAAAUUGGCUAGGUUCGCCUAAUUAAUAAUGUUUCUAAUGUGGCUUGGUUGGGACAAAAUGGCUCUGUUUCAAAUUGUUUAAUUAGGUCAUAUUCUGAUUUGCAAAUUAUUUUGUCCAAAUGUAAGGCUUCUUUACAAGUUAUCCCAAACUAAAUAGAGAGUUUCAUAAGGAGGCAACCAACAAUGUUACUCUCAUACUUUAGUUAGAGCAUCAUUGAAUUUUACUAGCUCUCAAACCUUUGAUCAUAUUUCAAGUUGCAUCCAUCAUGCUAUUCUGAAUGAAAUAAAGUAAUUCCCAUAAAAAUUAAUAGAAUAAUUUAAAUAACAUCAACUUAAACAAUAGACUUUAAAUAAUUAAUAUUCCAAGAAUUCACAAAAUAUAUACCCGUAAGUUGUAGGGUCUAAAAUCUAGUAGGUAUAAGAAUAACUGUAACAUUAAUUUUAUUUCCAACAGAGCUAUUGUCUUCAAUUGUCUAUGUCCAAUCAUAGAAAAAAAAACUGACAACUUUAAACAUAAAGAGAAAGCUUUGGAAUAAGUCAUAUUUAACACUUAAUGGUGCAAGUGAGUGUUUAGUGGCAAUAAAGUGAAUGAAUUGGUCACCUAUUGUUGAUAGCGGGAUCCGAUGGAGCUUCAAGAGAGAAAUUUUGGUGUAAUUUUACUCAAAAUCUUAUUUACUCAAAAAUCUAAUACUGUAUUAAUUAGAGAAGAACAUUUCUUAACAUGGAAAAGAAGAAAAAUACAAAUGAAACUUAAAAUUUCUUUGCAUCAGCAUAACAUUUAUAUGUUACCACCAUUAGAGCAAAAAUAGCCAUGACCGUGACAGAUAUAAUAUAUAAUAAUCGGUAUAACAUCUUUGUACGCGAUGCUUAGUGUGUCAUUGAUCAAAGUCUAAUGUACUGUAACAUGGAAUUCCAAUAGCCUUGGCCAUAGAGGACAAUAACAUGACCCUUGAAGAAGAUUAAUGAACAAACCUGUUUAUUACUACUCUAUUAAUUAAUUGAAAACUGUAGGAAGCUACAGAGAAGUUAUCUAUGCCCACCACCCACCUUCCUUAAAGAAUACGCCAAAGCAGUCUUAGUUGACCAUUUAAUUUUUGUGAAUUAAAAAAGAGGCAAAUUUAAAACACUAAAAAAAUAAAUACAACCAGAGUUGACCAUUUGAUAUAUGCCAAAUGAAUAAAUGUAGGGAUACGAAAGCAAUCUCCUGGAGGAAAUAGGGAGAUGGCACCACACCUUUUCAUCUCAUCUUUCUAACAAAAUGGGAAACACUUAACAAAAAGAGGGCAAGCUACAUCUAUAAUGAUUAAAGAGGUGUAUACAUGAAUGCUUCUGGGUAAGAGGCUAGUAAUUGGAAGAAUGUUUCUCAAGUUUUUGGGGCUUCAGCCAUUCCAAGCACACAAGUUCCUCACAGAGAAAGUAUCCAACAAUAAUAGAAGAGUUGUGCCAUAAAUUUUCUCUGGCCGAUCUUAGGAAAUCAACGAACAACUUUGAUCCAAAGAGACAAAUUGACCUUAGAGCAUUUGGUAUCAAAGUAUAUAAAGGUUGUCUUCAACAUGAUGAUGGUUCUGAUUAUACAGUCGCCGUAAAGCGAUUUAAUGUGAAAGACAGUCAAGCACGGGAAGAGUUCAAGAACGAAAUAGAGUUACUCUGCCAGCUUCAUCACCCUAAUUGUGUCUCUCUUAUAGGAUUCUGCAACCACAAAGAUGAGAAGAUUAUUGUGUACGAGUACAUGUCCAAUGGAUCUCUAUAUGAACGGCUACAAGGUGGGGAACUGUCAUGGAAGAAAAGACUAGAGAUCUGCAUAGGAAUUGCACGUGGACUACACUACCUUCAUGCUGGAGCCAAGCGUACCAUCAUUCACCGUCACAUCAAACCUAGCAACAUUCUUUUGGAUGACAACAUGCAGCCAAAACUUGCAGAUUUUGGCAUUAGCAUACAGGGACCACGUUUUAUGUCAAAGCCAAAACCAAUUAACGUAGAUUUUGUUGUGGGUAAUGUUUUAUUUUAUGAGGUUACUACUACAAUGAAUUUCUGUCAUAUAAACUAAGCUAAUACUUUAAGUUAUAGGUACUUUUGGCUACCUGGCUAUGGAGUAUGCCCUGUAUGGUACUGUCACAGAUAAAACUGAUGUUUACUCGUUUGGUAAGGUUCUACUAGAAGUUGUGUGUGGAGGGAAAUACGUAAAAAUGGUGGCAGAAACAGAAUUUAUGGAGAAGCCUGUUGAGGAGAAAAUUGAUCCGAAUAUCAAAGGAAAGAUUGCACCAGAGUGUUGGCAAGUCUUUAUAGAUAUCACGCAUAGAUGCCUGAAAUAUGAACCAGACAAGCGACCAACAAUGGGUGAAGUAGAGGUGGAGCUUGAGCAUGCUCUGUGGUUGCAGGAACAAGCAGAUAUCACAAACACCAAUGGUGAUUAUACCUUAUUUUCCACCACCAUUAUUGACAUGGGAGUGGAACUGGAAUCUAACAUGGAAGAGAUUGAUACUAGAGAUGCUUGAAGUAUGAACCAAAUGGGCGACCAACAAUUGGGGAAGUGGAGGUGGAGCUUGAGCAUGCUUUGCUGUUGAGGAACAAGCAGAUAUCAUAAAAACCUAAGGUUAUAAUACUUGUUAUCAAAUACCAAUAGUAACUUAAGAAGACAUGUUUCUUAGGUAAUUUGGUGAGUGACUCAAACAAAACAAUCACUAUGUACUUUAUGAGUAGCUUAGUUUAAUUGAGAUAUCUCUAGCUUUUGUAGUGAUCCUUGCUUUUAGCAUUUUGAUUGUAUCUAGAGCUGUGGUCGUAAUUAACUUAAACUAGUAUAAAUGAGAAAGCAGUGAAAGAAUUCUUGCUUGAGCUUGUUACCUUUAUACUGUUCCUCUUGAUGUGUUUUUUUUUUAAUUCCAUAACAUCACAAGAACCAAAGAUCCUGAUAUAGAGGGGAACCAUACAGAACAGAGCUAUUGUCUUCAAUUGCUACAAACCUGCUGUGGUAUUAUUGUGUUUGUUGAUUAGUUUCAUGAGCCGAGUUCCUAACAAUAUUAACAACUAGGUGAGUUUGGUUAAAUUGAU